rnacentral:misc_RNA from 1 species
GAAAUGCGAUAAGUAAUGUGAAUUGCAGAAUUCAGUGAAUCAUCGAAUCUUUGAACGCACCUUGCGCUCCUUGGUAUUCCUUGGAGCAUGCCUGUUUGAGUAUCAUGAAAUCUUCAAAGUAAAUCUUUUGUUAACUCAAUUGGUUUCUACUUUGGUAUUGGAGGUCUUUGCAGCUUCACACCUGCUCCUCUUUGUUCAUUAGCUGGAUCUCAGUGUUAUGCUUUGUUCCACUCGGCGUGAUAAGUUAUCUAUCGCUGAGGACACUGUAAAAGGUGGCCAAGGUAAAUGCAGAUGAACCGCUUCUAAUAGUCCAUUGACUUGGACAAUACUUUUAUGAUCUGAUCUCAAAUCAGGUAGGACUACCCGCUGAACUUAAGC